rnacentral:rRNA from 1 species
UACGUAGGGUGCAAGCGUUAAUCGGAAUUACUGGGCGUAAAGCGUGCGCAGGCGGUUUUGUAAGUCUGUCGUGAAAUCCCCGGGCUCAACCUGGGAAUGGCGAUGGAGACUGCAAGGCUAGAGUUUGGCAGAGGGGGGGUAGAAUUCCACGUGUAGCAGUGAAAUGCGUAGAUAUGUGGAGGAACACCGAUGGCGAAGGCAGCCCCCCUGGGUCAAAAACUGACGCUCAUGCACGAAAGCGUGGGGAGCAAACAGG